AGCUGUAGGAGCCCUGCUUUUUAUU
rnacentral:piRNA from 1 species